GUCCCGUUAGCUCAGCUGGUAGAGCAUUUCACUUUUAAUGAAGGGGUCGAUGGUUCGAAUCCAUCACGGGACACCA
rnacentral:tRNA from 7 species